GGCGGCAGGCCUAACACAUGCAAGUCGAGCGGUAACAUUUCUAGCUUGCUAGAAGAUGACGAGCGGCGACGGGUGAGUAACGCGUAGAAAUCUACCUAGUAGUGGGGGAUAGCCCAGAGAAAUUUGGAUUAAUACCGCAUACGCCCUACGGGGGAAAGCGGGGGAUCUUCGGACCUCGUGCUAUUAGAUGAGUCUGCGUCGGAUUAGCUUGUUGGUGAGGCAAUGGCUCACCAAGGCGACGAUCCGUAGCUGGUCUGAGAGGAUGACCAGCCACACUGGAACUGAGACACGGUCCAGACUCCUACGGGAGGCAGCAGUGGGGAAUAUUGCACAAUGGGCGCAAGCCUGAUGCAGCCAUGCCGCGUGUGUGAAGAAGGCCUUAGGGUUGUAAAGCACUUUCAGCAGUGAGGAAAGGGGUGUCGUUAAUAGCGCCAUCCUGUGACGUUAACUGCAGAAGAAGGACCGGCUAACUCCGUG
rnacentral:rRNA from 1 species